rnacentral:rRNA from 1 species
UACAGAGGUGGCAAGCGUUGUUCGGAAUUACUGGGCGUAAAGGGCGCGUAGGCGGCCAGCACAAGUCAGUUGUGAAAUCUCCGAGCUUAACUCGGAAAGGUCAACUGAUACUGUGCGGCUAGAGUGCAGAAGGGGCAACUGGAAUUCUUGGUGUAGCGGUGAAAUGCGUAGAUAUCAAGAGGAACACCUGCGGCGAAGGCGGGUUGCUGGGCUGACACUGACGCUGGAGGCGCGAAAGCGUGGGGAGCGAACAGG